GUCUACGGCCGUGCAACCCUGAACAAGCCCAGUGUCUGACCUUGGAAGCUAAGCAGGGUCGGGCCUGGUUAGUACUUGGAUGGGAGACCACCCAGGAAGACCAGGUGCUGUAGGUG
rfam:Pteropus alecto contig79042, whole genome shotgun sequence.